rnacentral:lncRNA from 1 species
AAGAAGUCCAAACAGAGAAGGCAGUGGAUAUUCUACUCUUUCCAAGUCAUUACUUCACUCAGCACAGCCUGUUAUUUGGAGGGCCCAUGGAAAGCUGUCCAGGCAGGGAAGCAUGCUGUUGCUGAGAGGUCUGCCUCUAUCCGUCAGUAAUGGGUGCUUGUGUGAGCAGAGCAUUUGCAAGGAAUUUUACAAGCCCAAACCAGCAGCAGUCCAGGAUGGAUCCCAG